GGGAGCCACACGAGUUUUGAAUUCGACAAAGAAUUGGCUAAGAGCUUAAAGAGGAGACUAUCCGAUCGAUAGGAUGCCUCAUACUUGCUGUGUGCUCUGGUAUAAGAUGCCCUUUGCUUGUUGUGUGUUCAGACAUUGAAAGACGCAUUAUGCGUAAUGGGAUUGAUGGAAAUUGUUGUAUAUGUUGAGAUUUCUCCGCAGAGCCGCAACUCAGCAAUAAGAGUGUGUUGACACUUGAGCUGAGAAUGGUAUAAAAGAUAAAUUUUUUUAUACGAAGUACUUUCCUACGCGAUGUGAUUUUAUGAUGAAAUGAUUUUGCAAGGAAAUAGUUCCUAUGAAUAUUUGCCAAUGAGAUUUGAAUGUAUAAGUCGCCUAACGCAAUGAAAUGAUUUUCUAAUUUGAACUUAUAUUUCUGUUGAAACACAUACUUAUUUAUGACCGUGUGGUGUUAUGAAAAGAAUCUCUGUAAUGUGUUAUGGAAAGAUUGUGUUCUAUUAAAUAUGUUGAUAAAAAUCUCUAUUCGCUAGAUAGUACUUUUGGUGUAAUCUUCAGAUGUCGAGUGCAACAACACAAUUUUGUGUGGCCGAAGAUGAUGAGUGGAAGAACUGAGCCAAGGAUGAAGAUCCUAAAGUUAUCAUUUAAGUCUUGUUGUAAUUGCAAAAGUUUAAAUUCUAGUUGUACUUGGUGUAAAGAGUUAAGUUAAUAAUGAGAAGAUGUUAUGUUUAUUCCGGUACAA